AAGUUUAUGGUUGGGGGUCACCACAGCAUAAGGAACUGUAUUAAAGGGUCACAGAAUUAGAAAGCUUGAGAGCCACUGCUAUGAGAGUGCUAUCUUAAAUAAGAAACUGGCUAGGCGCGGUGGCCCAUGCCUUUAAUCCCAGCACUCAGGAGCAGAGGCAGGUGGAUCGUGGCACACAGAAACUGUGGUCCAGAGGCAGCUGAGGUUGCAUCUCAUGCUAGCAGCCAAACUUAGUAGUGUAAGAGUCUCCCAGGUGGUCCUGGUUUUGAGGGCAUGAAGAUCAGCUGAGACUUGGGACUGUGAGAGGUCAGGACAGGCCAACAGUUAGGGGCAGCCUCAUUAGCAGUGAAAACCCCGGCCUUAAAGGGGCCAUGGAGAGAGGCUGUGGCUUGGCACCAUGUGGCAGGGGCAGAGUCCCCGAAGAGAGCCAAGGAGAGGCUAUUGAUGAAGGGGCAGCCCAGGUGCAGUGGAGAUUUUAGAAUCUGGGAGAUGUCAGUACCAUGGGAUGACUGCCAAGCGUGGGGUAUGGCCAGCCUGAAUCUAUGAGACAAGCUGGGUGUGCUGUGGAUAGCAGAACCUGGGAGGUGGAGCUGCUGUGGAAGCCCUUUGGAGCCCAGAGGAUCCUGAGUGAGUCCCAGAAGUCUAACACUAAGCCUUACACUGUUAGAUUUGCUUUUUUAUUUGACUGAUUGUAACUGUGCCUGGUUCUUCCCUCUGGGAAUAAGAAAGUAUUAGAAUUUUUUUUUUUUUUUGUUUUACAGAAGCCCACAGUUGAGAAACUGAACUUCUACAAAGACUUUGAAAUUUUAGAGAGACUUUAUGGUUUUAGGGAGACUUAACAUUUAAGAGAGAGUAUGGAUAUUUUAGAGACUGGAUUUUUAAAAGGUCUUGAACUUUGAAAGAGAAUCUGGCUGUUCUAAAGAGAAUGGACUUUUAAAGACUAUGGGGCUUUUAAUGUUAUUUAUGCUUUUAUAUUGUGGUGUUAAUAUUAACAUGACAUCUUGGGGACCCAUGAGAAAGAAAAGGCUCUAGUUGAAUAAUGAUGUAUCGGUGUGUCAAACUGGUAAGAGGUCAAUUGUGCUGGCUAGUUUUAUGUCACGGCUAGAGUCAUUUGGAAAGAGGGAAUCUCAUUUGAGAAAAUGUCCCUGUCAGAGUAACCUGUGGGCAAGCUUGUGGUAGAUUUUCUUGAUUGAUGAUCACUGUGGGAGGGCCUAGCUCACUGUAGGCAGUGCUAUCCCUGGGCUGAUGGUCUUGGAAGCUAUAAGACAGCAGGCUGAGCAAGUUACAGAGAGAAAGCCAGUAAUCAGCGAUUUUCUGCAGCCUCUGCAUCAGCUCCUGGCCCUAGGCCCUGCCUGUGUGCCUGUCCUGACUGCCCUGGAUGAUACUACAAGCUGUAAGGUGAAUAAACCCUCUGCUUCCCCAAGUUGCUGCUGGUCAUGGUGUUUGCCACAGCAGCACAAACAAUAAGAAUCUAUUUGAGCUGCUGACUGGAGUUUCACUAAAAGUUGUUGGGUGGACUUGCGUUUGGAUUAGACCGGAAUCUCCAAUCACUUCUGCUGUGCCACUGGACAGAGCUCUGCCAUUUUGAGAUGGAUGUUUAUGUAAAAUAGCACUCUCAACAGUGACAGUUAAAAAAAUCAAAAUAUUGCUCUACCCUGAAAAAUACUGCAAGUGCUCUUUGAUGUGUGGUAUCAGAUAUCCAGACAAGAUUUAAUUCUUUACGUGAAAAUAAACAAGCAUGUCUAUCUCA